rnacentral:rRNA from 1 species
CCUACGGGGGGCUGCAGUGGGGAAUAUUGGACAAUGGGCGAAAGCCUGAUCCAGCCAUGCCGCGUGUGUGAAGAAGGCCUUCGGGUUGUAAAGCACUUUCAGUGGGGAAGAAAGCCUUGGGGCUAAUACCCUCGAGGAAGGACAUCACCCACAGAAGAAGCACCGGCUAACUCCGUGCCAGCAGCCGCGGUAAUACGGAGGGUGCGAGCGUUAAUCGGAAUUACUGGGCGUAAAGCGCGCGUAGGCGGUCUGAUAAGCCGGUUGUGAAAGCCCCGGGCUCAACCUGGGAACGGCAUCCGGAACUGGCAGGCUAGAGUGCAGGAGAGGAAGGUAGAAUUCCCGGUGUAGCGGUGAAAUGCGUAGAGAUCGGGAGGAAUACCAGUGGCGAAGGCGGCCUUCUGGACUGACACUGACGCUGAGGUGCGAAAGCGUGGGUAGCAAACAGGAUUAGAUACCCCUGUAGU